AGUGAACGCUGGCGGUAGGCCUAACACAUGCAAGUCGAACGGCAGCACAGUAAGAGCUUGCUCUUACGGGUGGCGAGUGGCGGACGGGUGAGGAAUACAUCGGAAUCUACUUUUUCGUGGGGGAUAACGUAGGGAAACUUACGCUAAUACCGCAUACGACCUACGGGUGAAAGCAGGGGAUCUUCGGACCUUGCGCGAUUGAAUGAGCCGAUGUCGGAUUAGCUAGUUGGCGGGGUAAAGGCCCACCAAGGCGACGAUCCGUAGCUGGUCUGAGAGGAUGAUCAGCCACACUGUACCUGAGACACGGUCCAGACUCCUACGGGAGGCAGCAGUGGGGAAUAUUCGACAUUGGGCGCGAGCCUGAUCCAGCCAUACCGCGUGGGUGAAGAAGGCCUUCGGGUUGUAAAGCCCUUUUGUUGGGAAAGAAAAGCAGCAGGUUAAUACCCCGCUGUUCUGACGGUACCCAAAGAAUAAGCACCGGCUAACUUCGUG
rnacentral:rRNA from 1 species